rnacentral:rRNA from 1 species
GACGGAAGGUGCAAGCGUUGCUCGGAAUCACUGGGCGUAAAGGGCGCGUAGGCGGCAAGGCAAGUCAGGUGUGAAAGCCCCGAGCUUAACUCGGGAAUUGCAUCUGAAACUGCUGUGCUUGAGUUCUGGAGGGGGUAGUGGAAUUCCCAGUGUAGCGGUGAAAUGCGUAGAUAUUGGGAGGAACACCUGCGGCGAAGGCGGCUACCUGGACAGAAACUGACGCUGAGGCGCGAAAGCUAGGGGAGCGAACGGG